CCCUUGUACACACCGCCCGUCACACCAUGGGAGUUGGUUUUACCUGAAGGCGGUGCGCUAACCCGCAAGGGAGGCAGCCGACCACGGUAGGGGUCAGCGACUGGGGUG
rnacentral:rRNA from 1 species